rnacentral:lncRNA from 1 species
GUUCAGUGGACCGUGAAAAUAGGGUUAAAUCUCUAAUUUGGAAUUAAAAUUAGAAAGAUCAUAUCAUACAGAACAUAUGUACUAAGUUUCAAGUUGAUUAGACUUCAACUUCAUCAAAUACUACCUCGACCAAAAACUUUAACCUGAAGCGGGACAGACGGACGAACGAACGAACGAACGGACGAACGGACGCACAGACCAGAAAACAUAAUGCCCAUAAAUGGGGCAUAAAAAU